rnacentral:lncRNA from 1 species
CAAUAAAACAAGAAACAGCAAAAUAAUUCCAGUUUUGCAGCAAAUCACUUUGAACUAUACCUCUGAUGUCCUGGGGGAUAUUCUUUCUUUGCCUCUGCCUAGGGGUGCUUGAGGUGAAGUUUAAGAAGCACCAUCAAGGCUGCAUAAGUUGCUUCAAUAUGAAUGGUGCCACUUGGAGUUGUGGCCUGAAGAAGCCUUAAGCUCUGUGAAGCCACUAGGAGUAGUUUAUACCUGGAUGUGGAUGAAAGAUCUAAGAGGAAAUUUUGGUGACCGUGAGUGGAAGUGGAUGUGAUAAGGCUGAGAACAGGAGAGGACUGAGGGAGAAGAAGGGGCAGAAUUGAGAAGGAUUCGUUAUCAAGCGGCCCAGCCAGUUAAAGACGGAGCUUACAGCCUUUAAUAAGCCUUUGCUUAUUCAAGCAAACAAAACGAUUGGCUAAUCAAAGAGAAGUUUGCUGUGUUGUGGAGUAGAUGUCCAGGAAAGGGAAGAGCAUUGGAAUUCUCCAUGAAGAAGAGGCAAAACUGAGUAGUGGACAACGAUUUUGCAAUCUCUCCAACUCAGCUCUCAGCAUCUUCUUGUGAGUUCUUCAUAGCUAACAGCUUUGGCUAUUUGCUCAUAACAGUGUCUCUCUGAUCACAGAG